rnacentral:lncRNA from 1 species
UUGAUUUGCUUUGACGAUUUUAAUAUCCAACGGUUCAAUAGGUAUGCCGUUGUUUGGGUGUACGAAGAAUGCAAUGGAAUGACGACCACGACCGCAAUGUUCUGGAACUACAACGCGAUGUCUUAAUGCUGGAAAUUGAUUAUUAGUCCAUUUAGCUAAUAUGCUUCCUGUGUUUAAUAAAAUAGCUCCAGGUAGAUGACCAACGCGUCUCCAUUGAUCACCGCACGGUGUUUGUAUUUCCAAACCACCUUCGCAAUCCUAAAAAGAAAAGAAAAUCAAUUUCAAGAUAUUUAACAGAUUUCAAUUGCAAAAUUUCAAGAUUUGCAUUCAAUAAUAAUGGCGUCGUUAUUAUUGCAUGAUAUCUUAAUAUCAUAAUAAAAAUGUACAUAAUAAAUAUAUCAGAAGUUCUCUUUAAUAUAUUUUCAUAGAUUAUACGAAAGGAGAACACCUUUUAUUGUCUUUAUAAACGAAUAACUUAGUAUAUUAUAGUACCGAGGUUAUCCGCAUACCUGUGCAAGCAGAGUGAAAGUGCCAUAAUCGAAAUGAGCCCCGCAACGCGUCACGUCUGGUGACGGUGCACCAAGUGGUGGAUAAUAAAGAAGACGAAGAGUCGUUUCGUUACCAGUUCCCAACAUUUGAUCAUGCUUCAGUAACAAGAAAUCAGGUUGAGAAUCCCUGAACUAUCGAGACGUAUGCUAUCAUUAACAAGUAUUAAAAAAAAAAAAGAAAAAAAA